UACGGAGGAUCCAAGCGUUAUCCGGAUUUAUUGGGUUUAAAGGGUGCGUAGGCGGUCUGUUAAGUCAGGGGUGAAAGACGGUGGCUCAACCAUCGCAGUGCCUUUGAUACUGAUGGACUUGAAUGAACUUGAGGUAGGCGGAAUGUGACAAGUAGCGGUGAAAUGCAUAGAUAUGUCACAGAACACCAAUUGCGAAGGCAGCUUACUAAAGUUUAAUUGACGCUGAGGCACGAAAGCGUGGGGAUCAAACAGG
rnacentral:rRNA from 1 species